rnacentral:rRNA from 1 species
UCUAUCGGAUUACUGGGCGUAAGCGCACGCAGGCGGUCUGUCAAGUCGGAUGUGAAAUCCCCGGGCUCAACCUGGGAACUGCAUUCGAAACUGGCAGGCUGGAGUCUUGUAGAGGGGGGUAGAAUUCCAGGUGUAGCGGUGAAAUGCGUAGAGAUCUGGAGGAAUACCGGUGGCGAAGGCGGCCCCCUGGACAAAGACUGACGCUCAGGUGCGAAAGCGUGGGGAGCAAACAGGAUUAGAUACCCUGGUAGUCCACGCUGUAAACGAUGUCGACUUGGAGGUUGUUCCCUUGAGGAGUGGCUUCCGGAGCUAACGCGUUAAGUCGACCGCCUGGGGAGUACGGCCGCAAGGUUAAAACUCAAGAAAAUUGACGGA